rnacentral:tRNA from 2 species
GGGGCCUUAGCUCAGCUGGCAGAGCGCCUGCUUUGCAAGCAGGAAGUCAGGGGUUCGAAUCCCCUAGGCUCCACCU